ACCAGAGAGACCACUGGGUCAGCUUGACCAUGAUCCAGAGAGGAGACAGUCAACGGUGGACACAUAAAGGAGCCUCCCCCUUGCGGGGCUGCAGCGAAUGUUUGUGGGAAGCACCAGGCUCAGUGCCCAGAACAGGAGCUCGGGAGCUGGUAGCUAUUACUAGUGGCCCAAGGAUGGAGCAGAUUAUCUGAAAUGGAAUCUCUCGGCUGCCCAGCCUUGUGUCUCUUGGCCCAGUAACCGUGUCCAGUCUCUCCACGGAGAGGAAAAAGACUCCCAGGCUGCAAGGAAAAUUUGCGGAUAAGUCGUGCAAGGGAAGGAGUCCUUUGUGCAGGGGGCACCCCUUGUGCAGGAGGUCCUCUUCAUUAAGGCCUUCUCUGUGGGAAUCUGGUAUAGCCUGAGCAGAGGAGGUGGCCCUACUGAGCUAAUCUGGAUUGGAUUCUUCAGAUGCUCCAGAAGAACCAUCCACUUGGGUCUAAUUAUGGAUUAGUGCCUUCAUACCUCUGUUCAGAAAUCAAACUUAUGAGACCUGAAUGCUGGCCCGUGAGACGAUGUUGGGAGCUGUGGCAGCCGACUUGCUACCCUGAGGCACCAAGAUAAGGAAAAAGGCCAACGUAGUAGAGGAUGAUAAACAGGAAAGAGAAAAGACCCAGGUUUCUUGGCAUCACUGAGCAUCUGAUCGACCCCGGAACUACCUCCCUCCCGACAUCUUUUUGCUCAUGAUUGUUUCAUGUCUCGGUUGCUUGAGCUGUUGUUGUGGACUUUCUGUUACAAAUUUCUCAACACGGUCUAACUGAGAGAAGCACCUACCGUGUGCGCGGCACACAUCUCUCAUAAGAGU